GAAGGUAUAGCUCAGUGGUGGAGCACAUGCUUAGCACGCACGAGGUCCUGGGUUCAGUCCCCAGUACCUCCA
rnacentral:tRNA from 1 species